GGUUAUAAGGUUUAUGUAUAAUCUGGCCUGCUCAAUGAUUAUGAAUAGCCGCAGUAUUUUGACUGUGCGAAGGUAGCAUAAUAAUUAGGCUAUUAAUUGUAGUCUUGAAUGAAUGGUUUGAUGGAAAUUAACUUUCUUUUUAUUAAGAUUGAAAUUAAGGUUUUAGUAAUAAUGCUAAAAUGACUAAAUUAGACGAGAAGACCCUAUUAAGUUUAAUAUAUAAUUGGUUUAUUAUAUUUUGUUGGGGCAACAUUUAAUAAAUAUUUUAUUGAAUUGAUCCAUUAAUAGUGAUUAUAGAAUAAAUUACUAUAGGGAUAACAGCGUAAUUUUAUUAGAUAGUUCUUAUUGAUAAUAAAGUUUGCGACCUCGAUGUUGGAUUAGGAUUACCUAAGGGCGCAGGAGCUUAAUAAGGUAGACUGUUCGUCUAUUAAAUUCCUACA
rnacentral:rRNA from 1 species